rnacentral:SRP_RNA from 1 species
GCCAGGCAUGGUGGCGCAUGCCUGUAAUACCAGCUACUCAGGAGGCUGAGGCAGGAGAAUCACUUGAACCCAGGAAGCAGAGGUUGCAGUGAGCUGAGAUCAUGCCACUGCACUCCAGCCUGGGUGACAGAGUGAGAUUCUGUCUCAA